rnacentral:rRNA from 1 species
GACGAACGCUGGCGGCGUGCCUAAUACAUGCAAGUAGAACGCUGAAGGAGGAGCUUGCUUCUCUGGAUGAGUUGCGAACGGGUGAGUAACGCGUAGGUAACCUGCCUGGAAGCGGGGGAUAACUAUUGGAAACGAUAGCUAAUACCGCAUAAUAGCAGUUAUUGCAUGAUAACUGUUUGAAAGGUGCAAUUGCACCACUACCAGAUGGACCUGCGUUGUAUUAGCUAGUUGGUGGGGUAACGGCUCACCAAGGCGACGAUACAUAGCCGACCUGAGAGGGUGAUCGGCCACACUGGGACUGAGACACGGCCCAGACUCCUACGGGAGGCAGCAGUAGGGAAUCUUCGGCAAUGGACGGAAGUCUGACCGAGCAACGCCGCGUGAGUGAAGAAGGUUUUCGGAUCGUAAAGCUCUGUUGUAAGAGAAGAACGAGUGUGAGAGUGGAAAGUUCACACUGUGACGGUAUCUUACCAGAAAGGGACGGCUAACUACGUG